ensembl:snRNA LOC120103242 U7 small nuclear RNA
CACUGCUAUAGAUCUUUUAGAAUUUUUCUAGCAGGUUUCCUUACUUUGGUUGGAAAACCCAU